rnacentral:rRNA from 2 species
GACGAACGCUGGCGGCGUGCCUAAUACAUGCAAGUCGAACGAACUCUGGUAUUGAUUGGUGCUUGCAUCAUGAUUUACAUUUGAGUGAGUGGCGAACUGGUGAGUAACACGUGGGAAACCUGCCCAGAAGCGGGGGAUAACACCUGGAAACAGAUGCUAAUACCGCAUAACAACUUGGACCGCAUGGUCCGAGUUUGAAAGAUGGCUUCGGCUAUCACUUUUGGAUGGUCCCGCGGCGUAUUAGCUAGAUGGUGGGGUAACGGCUCACCAUGGCAAUGAUACGUAGCCGACCUGAGAGGGUAAUCGGCCACAUUGGGACUGAGACACGGCCCAAACUCCUACGGGAGGCAGCAGUAGGGAAUCUUCCACAAUGGACGAAAGUCUGAUGGAGCAACGCCGCGUGAGUGAAGAAGGGUUUCGGCUCGUAAAACUCUGUUGUUAAAGAAGAACAUAUCUGAGAGUAACUGUUCAGGUAUUGACGGUAUUUAACCAGAAAGCCACGGCUAACUACGUGCCAGCAGCCGCGGUAAUACGUAGGUGGCAAGCGUUGUCCGGAUUUAUUGGGCGUAAAGCGAGCGCAGGCGGUUUUUUAAGUCUGAUGUGAAAGCCUUCGGCUCAACCGAAGAAGUGCAUCGGAAACUGGGAAACUUGAGUGCAGAAGAGGACAGUGGAACUCCAUGUGUAGCGGUGAAAUGCGUAGAUAUAUGGAAGAACACCAGUGGCGAAGGCGGCUGUCUGGUCUGUAACUGACGCUGAGGCUCGAAAGUAUGGGUAGCAAACAGGAUUAGAUACCCUGGUAGUCCAUACCGUAAACGAUGAAUGCUAAGUGUUGGAGGGUUUCCGCCCUUCAGUGCUGCAGCUAACGCAUUAAGCAUUCCGCCUGGGGAGUACGGCCGCAAGGCUGAAACUCAAAGGAAUUGACGGGGGCCCGCACAAGCGGUGGAGCAUGUGGUUUAAUUCGAAGCUACGCGAAGAACCUUACCAGGUCUUGACAUACUAUGCAAAUCUAAGAGAUUAGACGUUCCCUUCGGGGACAUGGAUACAGGUGGUGCAUGGUUGUCGUCAGCUCGUGUCGUGAGAUGUUGGGUUAAGUCCCGCAACGAGCGCAACCCUUAUUAUCAGUUGCCAGCAUUAGGUUGGGCACUCUGGUGAGACUGCCGGUGACAAACCGGAGGAAGGUGGGGAUGACGUCAAAUCAUCAUGCCCCUUAUGACCUGGGCUACACACGUGCUACAAUGGAUGGUACAACGAGUUGCGAACUCGCGAGAGUAAGCUAAUCUCUUAAAGCCAUUCUCAGUUCGGAUUGUAGGCUGCAACUCGCCUACAUGAAGUCGGAAUCGCUAGUAAUCGCGGAUCAGCAUGCCGCGGUGAAUACGUUCCCGGGCCUUGUACACACCGCCCGUCACACCAUGAGAGUUUGUAACACCCAAAGUCGGUGGGGUAACCUUUUAGGGACCAGCCGCCUAAGGUGGGACAGAUGAUUAGGGUG